rfam:Triticum aestivum genome assembly, contig: Triticum_aestivum_CS42_TGACv1_scaffold_002035_1AL
CAGCUACUCCCUCCGUCCGGAAAUACUUGUCAGCGAAAUGGAUGUAUCCAGACGUAUUUUAGUUUUAGAUACAUCCAUUUUAAUCCAUUUAUGCGACUAGUAUUUCCAGACGGAGGGAGUACCUG